CUCUUUGACUGACCACUAAUUAACUAAGGAUCAAAGACAAGACCGCGUGAUGACGUAAACCAGAUCAGUUGUGAUCGUUUGUGUGUUUUUACUUUAAUCGCAGUCAAAAUCGUUCCAGACUCCAACGGAUGUUUUCACCAUUUUAGAAACAAAGUGUCGGCAUUAUUGUUUCCUUUAGAUGUUGAAACCCCGCCCCUUAAGAAGAGCCUGUGGUUCUUAUUGGGCAUUUUGAGAAAAUCGGUUGGGCGAAGGCCGCUGAUUGGUUCGUUUACAAUACAUGACGUCACCGUGGCCGGGAUCUGGGCGUUGGACCGGGCUGCAUCUUCAUCCCUGAAAUGGUUUUCUCCGCGGCGGGGAUUUAACUCUGCACGAAGCCCAAACUCCAGAUUUCUGUCUUGGUUCCGCGCCUUCUGUCUGAGCUUCAGCCUUCAAAACCAUCCGAGAUCUUCCUCUGAACGACAGCGGGGUCUACAGUGAAGCGCGCGCUCGGAGCUCUUUGUGUCUGCCUUGGGUUCUUUGUUAGAGAGAGAGAGAGAGUUAGUGAGAGAGAGAGAGAGAGAGAGAGUUAGUGAGAGAGAGAGAGAGAGAGAGAGAGAAAUAUGGGAGCGCAGGCAUCUAAAGCGGAGAACCCCGGAGGAGCCGAGACGACAGUGGGGUCUCCUUCUAAAGCCAACGGACAGGAAAAUGGCCACAUGAAGAUAAAUGGUGACGCAGCAGAGGUGAACGAGGAGGUGCAAGCUAACGGCAGCACUGCAGCUGAGGGAGAGCAGGAGGGGAAGGAGGAGGGUGGAGACAAAGCUGAGGCCACAUCCAUUGAGAAAGAGGGAGAAGAUGAAGAAAAAGAAAAGGUGGCUGCAGAUGAAACCGUUGCAGCAGCAGCUGCUGAGGAUGAGAAACCGUCUGCCAGUGAAGAGACACCGAAGAAGAAGAAGAAGCGCUUUUCAUUAAAAAAGUCCUUGAAGCUGAGUGGAUUCUCCUUCAAGAAAAACAAGAAAGAGACUGGUGAUGCAGGAGAGCAGGAGGAGCAGAAGAAAGAGGGAGGGGAGGAGAAAAAAACUGAUGGAGAGGAGGAAAUAAGGAAAGAGGAGGAAGAAGGUGAAGCUGUAGCAGUUGAGGAGGAGAAAAAAGAAUCGGAGGAAGUGGAGAAAAGGAAGAGGUGAAGGAAGACGAGAAGGUGGAGGAACCAAAGGCAGACGAGAAGGUGGAGGAACCAAAGGCAGACGAGAAGGUGGAGGAACCAAAGGCAGACGAGAAGGUGGAGGAACCAAAGGCAGACGAAGGUGGAGGAACCAAAGGCAGACGAGAAGGUGGAGGAACCAAAGGCAGACGAGAAGGUGGAGCAAAAAGAGGAGAAACCAGAGGAGGAUAAAAAGACGAUUAAGGAGGAAGUGAAGCAAGAGGAGGAACAUGCUGUAGCUGCAGCACCUGUCCAGCAGGAGGCACCGAGCAAAGACGACACAGAGGAAGUGGCUCCAGUUGAACAAGAAACAGCGCCUACUGAGUCUGAAGCUGGAGCAGCCGAGUAAAAAAACACACACACACACACACACACACACACGUGGCAUGACCUAGUUUGUUUGCUGGUCAGUGGGGCGGAGCCAAAUGUAAUCAGCCAAUCACAAGCUUCAUGUAGUGACAUCAUCACUAGCGCUGCACUAAUUGGUCAAAGACAUAAGAAGAGAGAUCAGUGAUGUCACAUGAUCAGUUGUUCUGAUUGGCUGAGUACAUUUGGCUUAAGCGCCGCCCCUUUGACCCUCCAACACUGUGAUAUGCAGGAGAAAAUAAACAAACCACGGCUGUGAAAUCUCACACACACACACACACACACACGUGUGUUUUCCUACAACAAGACAUUUACAAAUUAGUUUUUUUUUUUUUAUUGGCCUCUCUCUUCUCUAACAAGUGGGCGGGGCUUUCCCGGGUUUUUAAAUUAAUAAUACUCUCCCUUUUUUAUGCUCAGUAUUAACUGUUUUAUUUUUAUACAAAAAAGUACAGAAUUAAGGACACACCCAGGGGAGGAGUCUGGGGGGAAAUGGGGUCAAAUUAAAGUAAUUGAUAAACACUAAAGUGAUUUUAAUGCUUUAAAUCCCAGCUGUUUUUUUUAUAGUGUGUGUGUGUGUGUGUGUGUGUGUGUGUGUGUGUGUGUGUGUGUGUGUGAGAGAGAGAGAGAGAGAGAGAGAGAUGAAUUGAAUUGUGUAAUUAUGUACAGGAGGGAGGGUUAAAACUGUGAUUAUUGUACAAACAGUACUGAAGCGAGAUGGAGGAAGUGCAGCUCCUCACAACCAGACUUGAGAUUUUUGUAAAAUAAAAAAGAAACAAAUUUACAUUCAUCCGAAAGGAUUUUUUAAAAUGCAAGCUGUGACUCUUUCUACUGUGGGUUUCCUCUUUUAAACUGAUCUGUAGCAUUUUUUUCCCUCUCUAUCACUGUUUUUUUUCCACUUUGUAAAUACUGGAGAAGGGUUUUUCCAGAGGUUUCAGAUGGAAUGGAGUUUGGACUUCCUGCAGGUUUGAGGUGUUUGGGUUUCUGUCGACACACUAAAGCUAAAUAAAUGUUCAUUUCCAACCCA